rnacentral:lncRNA from 1 species
UGGGAGGUUUAAACAGUCUACACUGGGAGGUUUAAACAGUCUACACUGGGAGGUUCAAACAGUCUACACUGGGAGGUUCAAACAGUCUACACUGAGAGGUUCAAACAGUCUACACUAGGGAGUUCAUACAGUCUACCCUGGGAGGUUCAAACAGUCUACACUGGGAGGUUCAAACAGUCUACACUGGGAGGUUCAAACAGUCUACACUGGGAGGUUUAAACAGUCUACACUGGGAGGUUCAAACAGUCUACACUGGGAGGUUUAAACAGUCUACACUGGGAGGUUCCAACAGUCUACACUGGUUGGUUCCAACAAUCUACACUGGGAGGUUUAAACAGUCUACACUAGGAGGUUCAAACCUACAAUACAUUCACACCACUCGGUAAGUAGGUCAUUUUGGAUUUACGACGGAUAUACUAUCAGCAUCCUGUCAUGAAUCUGCCUCCAUGUUCUAUGUAGGAAGUUGAUGAUCAUGUUUUUUGUGUGCAAUUUUCAUUACUAUAAUUAUUAUUGGC